rnacentral:tRNA from 1 species
AGAAAGGCCCAGAGGCAAAAAGCACUGCUAAUUCUUCCAUCCGUGGUUAAACUCCGCGGCUUUCUC